rnacentral:piRNA from 1 species
UGUGAGAUAAAUGCUUGUUCUGUCUCCA